CUCAUUGUCCUCAUGCUGCGUCCUGCUCAGCUGUCUCAUUGAUGGCCCUGCUGACCAACUAUGGCCCCAGGUGCACUACGCGAGUGUGGCUGUGGAGCUACACUUCCCAUACCUUGGAUGAGAAAAACAUUUUCUCUUCUUGCACCACCUCAUCCAAGCAUUGAAUUCCCCAGAGGUAGAGGUUGGGGAAUCCAGGCUAGAAUGGAUCACUUAUCUGUCCAUGAAGACAAGCACCUAGAUAGUUCCACUAAGGGUACUACACACUAAGCAGUAGGUAACGUCUCAAAAAGGAAAUGAAGACUUGGGAAGGGAGAAUGGACACUAAAUGGCCAAAAAUUAGAACAACAAGAACAUCAGAUGUCCACUCUAUCUAUGCAUGUACCUGGGAUGCUCUGUCAUUGACCAGGUAAUAAUAACAGAUGGCAUUUACACAGCACCUUCUCUGGGCCAGGAUCUCAGCCACUUACAUCUAUCUUAUUUUUUUAAUUUCAUUGAAGUAUAGUUGAUUUACAAUGUUGUGUUAAUUUCUGCUGUACUGCAAAGUGACUCAGUUAUACAUAUAUUUUUUUUUCCAUCAUGGUUUGUCACAGGAUAUUGAAUAUAGUUCCCUGUGCCAUACAGUAGGACCUUAUUGUUUAUCCAUCCUAUGAUAGUAGUUGGCCUUUGUGAAUCCCAGAUUCCAAUUCUUUCCCUCCUCCACCCUCCCUCCCCCUUGCAACCAUAAGUCUGUUCUUUAUAACUGUGAGUCUGUUUUUGUUUUGUAGAUACGUUGAUUUGUGUUUGUACUGUCUUAUUUAAUCCUCACAGCAGUCUUAGGAGGUAGGUAAUUUUCUUUCUCUGUUUUAUGGUGAAGAAAGCAGAGAAAGUUGGCAUUUUGUCAGCUUCUAUUCUGUAAAAUAUAACUGGCCAGAGCUGGUACAAGUUAAAGUUGUGGACUCUAAUUUCGAAUUACUAGAUUUUCAACCCCACUCUUGCUGAAAUGUUUGUUAAUCCAUCUUACAGUAAGCUCGGCACUGCUAAAAAAUUUUUUGUCCAUACCUGUGGAAGUUUCCAAGUCGGGCAUAGACCCUGCACCAUAGCAGGGCCCCAGCCGCUGAAGUGACAAUGUUGCAUCCUUAACCUACUCUACCCCAAGUGAACUCCUCAGUAUUGCUAAUUUAUAUUGUAAUGACUACCUACCAUAUAAAUCUCAUUCCCUUCAUUCCAAAGGGAAAUUCUAAGCAUGCAUGAGAUAUCCUGUUUUUAUUAUUACUCACUUUAUUAAGGUUAAAUUUUAAAAACCUCCUUUUACCUUAAGCUUUAAUUAUAACAUAAAUUCUAGUAAUCUAUUUGGCAAAUUUUAACAAUCAUUUUUCAGGCAGAUUUUCUAAUUUAAUCUAGAUGCUUUUAAAUAUUCUGACCCCUAAACAGGAAAAGAAUAUUCUGAUCCUGAAUUUAUGUAUACUAUAUGUUAUUUUUUAGUAGUACAAUGGACUCACAGCCCUUCUCAAGAAUUCAAAUGAUCCUUAACAGCUUUAUUAGAUAUGCCACAUGCCAUACAAUUAAAGAGUACAGUUAUAAAUGAACAACUUAAUGUAUAAUUCAGCGUUUUCCCAGAAUUGUUCAGGCAUCAUCACAGUCAAUUUUAGAACAUUUACAUCACCCCAUAAAGAAAAUCUGCACCCCCUUAAUCAAGCUAUUCUUAUAAAUCAAGUAAGUUAAAUUUAUAGAUAAGACGAAUCAUAAGUUCUCCUGUUUUAACUGUACUCUUUAUAAACCUAGUAAGAUUUUAACUUAACGUCACAAAUGUAAGAGAGUUAUUCAGCGAGUUCCCAUCAUGGCACAGCAGAAACAAAUCUGACUAGGAACCAUGAGGUGGUGGGUUUGAUCCCUGGUCUCACUCAGUGGGUUAAGGAUCCGGCGUUGCUGUGAGCUAUGGUGUAGGUUGCAGAUGCGGCUUGGAUCUGGAGUUGCUGUUGCUGUGGUAUAGGCCAGCAGUUGUAGCUCUGAUUAGACCCCUAGCCUGGGCACCUCCAUAUGCCAUGGUUGUGGCCCUAAAAGGACAAAAGACAAAAAAAAAAAUAGUUAUUCACUUACUCACUAAAUUAGAAUGAUGAGGUCCUUCUAAGAGGCCAAAUUAUCUAAGAAAUUAUAAAUAUCCAAAUAUAUAUUAUUCCUUAACAGAUACAUAUUAAUCAUAUGGAUUAUCUCCUUCAUCACUUUCAUAUUUAAUUCCACAUUUUCCCAGAAACAAAAGUACACACGUCAACUAAAGAAAAAUUAUACCGUAAACAGAAUUUGCAAUGUGUUCUUUUAGAGCAGGUUUGGGGAAAUAUAUUUUCAGCUAGAUGAAGUUGCAUAUCAACAAGAGAUUUGGGCCAGGGUUUGAGAAUUAGAACCAGAGACACCCAAAACAGCUUUUCUCAUAACCUUGAGUGACAAGCCAAGCCUACUUCUAUAGACACUAUAUCGAGAGAAUUGGGUAUUGGUUCCUCAGUGGCAGCUGAAGGAGGGGAGUGUCUGAUAACCUACAAGAGAGAUGGACCCAAGCGUUAUGGUUGCAGGCAGAGGCUGGAGAGAAAGUUGUUUGAGAAGGGAUUGUAUAUGUUGAAGGCAGCCGACAAAUUUUAGGAUAGGAAUGUCCAAAUACCCUGAGCUGCAAUUACCCACUGUUCUCUCCCAGCCUUCUGUAGAAGCCUGAUCAUCUUAUAUUUGAAACAUGAAGGUAUGAUGACAGGUAGCCAAGAGUAAUGUAAGGAUCCAGUAGGCUCUGUAGGAGCAGACAGCACUGGGGGUGGAUGCAGAAGUUGCCUGGGUGGAGUUCCCAUUGUGGCACAGUAAAAAUGAAUCUGACUAGUAUCCAUGAGGACAUGGGCUUGAUUCCUGGCCUCGCUCUGUGGGUUAAGGAUCCAGAGUUGCCGUGAGCUGUGGUGUAGGUCACAGACACGGCUCAGAUCUGACAUUGCUGUGACUGUGGUGUAGGCCAGGAGCUGCAGCUCCGAUUCGACCUCUAGGCCGGGAACUUCCAUGUGCCACAGAUUUGGCCCUGAAAAGCAAAAAAAAAAAGUAGCCUGGGCACUACUUUCUUCAGGCAGGUUUAUUAAGAGAGCUCCAGACUGUAGUGAGUGGGAUGGAGAUUUGGGCAUGUUAUUUGGAUAUUAAAGGAAAAGGUGAUUCCAGAAGGACAGGAGGCAGGGACUACCAGAGACUAACCAGGGAGCAGAGGCUUGGGUUAAAGGAGGAUGUAGUCACAUGCUUUUUAAGGAAAACUCUUCUCCACAGAAGAGAUAAUAGCUUAUUUCCUAUCAUUGUUCCUAAGAUCAAAUCACAGGGUAUCUCAUUUGUGCAGAGUUACAGAAUUCUAUAGUUACAUUUGGCCACUCAGCACCUCUGUGGCCAGGGAGGACUUCCAGAUCCUCUUUUUCAACCAACACUAGUGAAAGAAGGUAUCAGCCUCUCAUAUCACGAGGAAGGAAAUGAAUCAUGGAAUUGCCGUGGCAAGAAGCACUCUUGAAUUGUUUCAGUAACUCCAAGCAUUUUGAAUUUUGAUCUAAGUAAGGAGAAUGUUUUGCUCAUAUUUUCCUCAGGGUUUUUUAUUUUCAUAACCUGCUGAUUUGACUUUAAAGAUUUUUUUUUUUUAAUUUUUAUGGCCACAUCCGCAGCAUAUGGAAGUUCUUUAUUCAGGGCUUGAAUCUGAGCCACAGCUAUGACCUAUGCCUCAGCUGUGGCAAUGCCAGGUCCUUUACCCACUGUGCCAGGCUGGGGAUCAAGCCUGCACCUCUGCAGCUACCCAAACCACAGCAGUAGGUUCUUAACCCCUGAGCCAUCAGGGGGAACUCCUGACGUUAAAGAUUUUUAUACAGUCUUUUAAGUGGGAAUAUGCUUACGUGUCUCCACACAACUGAUCUGUUUGGUGAAGUGAGUCAAAUCAUUGGCUAAUAGAAACACACAUACACACACAGUUAAACUGGCUACUUGCCUUUGUGAAGACUCAAAAAUUGGGCCUUUUUUUUCCCCCACUUCUAAUAAUGAUUCAUUAGCUGUUUGUAUCUAAUAUCAGGCCAUUUGCGUCUGGCACUUUGAGCUCCCAAGUGUAUUAACAGCAGAGUUUUGACAACUCAUGCUACUCAACUUCCUUUUACUGUGUUUUAUUAAUGAAAGGAUGCAGAAGACGAAGGGUGUGCCAUCAUGCCCAGCAGUUGGGAGCUCUUUCUUUCAAGCCACCAUGGCCUGUCUUGGCUGUCCCAUGCACCUGUCCCCACCCAGAAAGGCAUCCACACCCCCUCAGAGACAUCAGUGAUUGCUUUGGUGGGAGAAGCUGACAAACUGUUAAGUGCCGGUUAGUAACUCUUCCACUUAACCUCAGUAAACAGUUAAAUGUACCACUACUGAACUGUGGUGACAUUUUAUAGUUUGCUCUGUGGGGAGAUUGCUGUUAAGGAAAGACUUGACAGCCACUGAAUAUGUGCGUAAGUUCGCAACUGCUUUUGGGGUCGAUGUGGGUGGAAAAUUACCUGAAAAGGAACUUAUUUUUUCUGCCUGGGAGAGAAGCAAAGUUCAUGCAAGAUUGAACAAAGCUGUAGUCAUACGUGCCUCUUUCUUUUGUUAAGGAACACAGUGUCAACUGGAAAGAAAUGCACAACCUCAAAGUUGUGAAUUGUGUUUUAUUUGGCGGACUUUCCGAGGACCCAAGCCUGGAAGGCAGCCUCUCAGAUAGUUCUGAGGGACUGUUCCAAAGAGAUAAGGGAGGAGCAGGGAUACAUAGGAGUCUUUGCAGCAGAAACCAGGUUAUCGAAGCAUCAAAAGAUUACUGUCAAUUAAAGAAAACUAGACAUUCAAGUUAAUGCAUUUAGGUGCUUGUCUAUGUAUGAGAAGAUGCAAGAGUCUGGGCUCACUGAAAUCAUUCCUUUAAUAGGCACCUUAAUCAUCUAGGCCCAGCCUUCUGCUUUUCUCCAUCCUGAAUCCUUUCCGGGUACACAGUGGGAGUGGCUGUAGUGGCUGCUGGCUUGAUGACCGCGACAUCCUUUGUUUACUGAUGUGGCAGGUGACCUACCUGGUCCACAACAGCAUCUUUUGCACUGCCCCUUCCUAUGAGAAAAAGCCUUUCCCCCAUGCAAUGGAGAGAUUCUUCUGG
rnacentral:lncRNA from 1 species